AUUGAACGCUGGCGGCAGGCUUAACACAUGCAAGUCGAGCGGUAACAGAGAGAAGCUCGCUUCUCUGCUGACGAGCGGCGGACGGGUGAGUAAUGCCUAGGAAUCUGCCUAGUAGUGGGGGAUAACUUGCCGAAAGGUAAGCUAAUACCGCAUACGUCCUACGGGAGAAAGGAGGGGACCUUCGGGCCUUUCGCUAUUAGAUGAGCCUAGGUCGGAUUAGUUAGUUGGUGAGGUAAUGGCUCACCAAGACCGCGAUCCGUAACUGGUCUGAGAGGAUGAUCAGUCACACUGGAACUGGGACACGGUCCAGACUCCUACGGGAGGCAGCAGUGGGGAAUAUUGGACAAUGGGGGAACCCUGAUCCAGCCAUGCCGCGUGUGUGAAGAAGGUCUUAGGAUUGUAAAGCACUUUAAGUUGGGAGGAAGAGCAGUUAACUAAUAUUUGACUGUUUUGACGUUACCGACAGAAUAAGCACCGGCUAACUUCGUGCCAGCCGCCGCAGUAA
rnacentral:rRNA from 1 species